CACCGCCCGUCACACCCUGGGAAUAGGUUUCGCCCGAAGCAUCGGACCAAUGAUCACCCAUGACUUCUGUGUACCACUAGUGCCACAAAGGCUUUUGGUGGUCUUAUUGGCGCAUACCACGGUGGGGUCUUCGACUGGGGUGAAGUCGUAACAAGGUAGCCGUAGGGGAACCUGUGGCUG
rnacentral:ncRNA from 2 species